UACGAAGGGGGCUAGCGUUGUUCGGAAUUACUGGGCGUAAAGGGCGCGUAGGCGGUGUGUCAAGUCAGGCGUGAAAGCCCCGGGCUCAACCUGGGAACCGCGCUUGAGACUGGCACGCUCGAGUUCGGGAGAGGAUGGUGGAAUUCCCAGUGUAGAGGUGAAAUUCGUAGAUAUUGGGAAGAACACCGAUGGCGAAGGCAGCCAUCUGGACCGACACUGACGCUGAGGCGGCGAAAGCAUGGGGAGCGAACAGGG
rnacentral:rRNA from 1 species